rnacentral:lncRNA from 1 species
AAUAUAUCCAAUUAUUAUAUUUUUAUGCAUCAACUAAAAAAUAACAGGAAAAAAAAAAAACCCUGCUGGCAGAAGUGCCAGAGAUGUGCUUCUGGGAUCUGGGUUUGGUUUCAUUCUCACAGAUGGGAAUUUGUGUUUCCAUUAGGAAUUCUCAGUUCUUCUCUCAAGAAGCCUAAUUCUCAUAAGGAAUCAAAAGCAUGCCACAUUUCAUGUUUCACCGUUACUUCAUGAAGAAGAACUCCAUGCCACUGUAGUGAGGAUUCUAUGAUGUGUAACCACAGUGCUGCACUUCAGCUCCCAGGCAGGACCAAAGGGAGAGGAAGCCCGCAGCCGCACCGAGACCGGGAGAGACCCUGCCCGGCUCCCGGAAGGCCGCCUGACUGGCCCACUGCUCCCUGCCGGCUCAGCUGUGCGCGGCUUCCCGCAUCUGCCCACCAUUCCUUUCCCGGGCCACUCGGUCCGCGCUGCUGUUUAUUUUCUUGCUAUCAAUACUUGAUCAGAGGAAAGGAAAGUUUUAAAAAUGCCGAUUGCACAGUUGCUGGAACUAUGGAAAAAGAUAGAAGUGGAGCCCAUGGAAAUAGAGACCACUGAGGAGGAGCUCAGCCUGGAUGCAGAACCGACCACAGAAGACACCGUGGAAGAAAUUAUGCAUAGUAAAGCAAACUGCAGUGCUGGGAAGUUACGAUAUUUAAGGAGUUUAAAGUUUAAUGCAGACAACAAAUGUGUCACUUGGCUUGGAUACUGUUAUGCUGAGCUAGGGCGGCAAGAAGGUCCCAGGUGGCCACAGUGCAGCCUUGCCCGGCAUGGCUGAGUGAAUUUAUCAUGGUCCAUAGGCAGCUGCCGCCUGGUUGCCUGGGAAACCCAUUUGGACUUUUGGCCAAGCACACCCAGGGCAGACUCCUCACUGCCCUGGGAGUGCGUGCAGCCUGUACAUCCAUAUGAGGAUGGCGCAGGGUGAUGUUAGACUAGAUGACAGUACCCGAUAGGCCUCCUCGGAGCCUGGGCGAUGAGGUGGGAAGGAGGAGUUGUCACAGUGGAGUUAGAAGGCCUCGGGCCAGGAGAUGGCUUAACUAGUCCAUUUCCAUGAGGCAGACGCCAAAUCUCCUACCUACCAGGCAGCUCCAGACCCCCGGGCCUGCUUGUCAUCUUGGCCCCACAGUAUUCUGAGAUGCAUAGGUGGCGUAGGUGAGCUUUUAUUUCACAGAAAAACCUGUGAAAAUAUUGGAACCCAUAUUUUUUAACUGUUUAGAUUUCAGGGUUAUGUUUAUUAAUCAUUAUAAAGACCAAUUUCCUGUCUGUUAAAUUUAGAAAACUAGAUUCAAUUUUUACUUUGUUUCUUAUAGCUGCUGGGACACUUUUCUCCCCAUUCUGGUGGCAGAACAGGAAAUGUAUGAAUGGUGAGAAGUGUCACUUCUGGUGCCAGCCAUCAUUUGGCCAGGGAGGGUGGGGGGGCACUGGACUUGGCUGCCAAAGGACAGCUCUCUGAGUCAACAAGGAUGUCAGAGAGUGCAGCAGCACAGAGACCAGAGAGGGACCCUUGCAGUUCACAUACAGCUCUUGUUGGGAUUUUUUUUUUUUGUACCAGGAAUCGAACUUGGGACCUUGUACUUGCAAAGCAGGCAGCAGAACCACUGAGCUAAUUCCCCGGCCCCAAUCUUCUCAGGUUGUCAGCAGGGUCUGCUGGCAUCUUCUGAUGAUCUUCUGAGUAGUUGUCACUGUAGCUUCCUGGAGUGACCAGUUUCCUGAUUUCCCAACUGGUCUCAGAUUGGACAUCUGACCUUUCCACUCAGUAGAGAAGUGAGGGAGGAAGGUAAGGGCGGAGACUGGUGGAAACACACUGAGCUCCUGAAGGAGAGAGCAACACAAGAGUGUCAUCAAGGCCCUGGAUUGAAGUCAUGGUGCCAGUAGAAGAAUGUCACCUGGGUCAGGCCGAGCAACCCAUGCAGCACCUGCAGGGCCAGUGCAUCAUCUCUCCCGAAUCUGGAAGGUACAAGGAGACUCACUGUGUCCCUUAAAAAAGAAGAAGACGAACAAGAAAGAAAAAAAAAAACAACCUGAACUUUUUUGAAUAUCAGUGAGACAAGAUGAAUGAGGAAGCCUAGGAACUAAUAAAGCAAUUAAAAGC